GCAGCCCCCCCGGGCUCACGUCUCCACCGUCGACGCCAACGAGAGCGAGGAGGUUCGGCAGUUCCGGCGCCUCUUCACCCAGCUGGCCGGGGAGGACAUGGAGGUGAGCCCCACUGAGCUCAUGAACAUCCUCAACAGA